CGCUGGCGGCGUGCCUAACACAUGCAAGUCGAACGGUAACUUCUUUAAAGGAUUUCUUCGGAAUGAAUUUGAUUAGUUUAGUGGCGGACGGGUGAGUAACGCGUGAGUAACCUGCCUCUAAGAGGGGAAUAACAUUCUGAAAAGAAUGCUAAUACCGCAUAAUAUAUAUUUAUCGCAUGGUAGAUAUAUCAAAGAUUUAUCGCUUAGAGAUGGACUCGCGUCCGAUUAGUUAGUUGGUGAGGUAACGGCUCACCAAGACCGCGAUCGGUAGCCGGACUGAGAGGUUGAACGGCCACAUUGGGACUGAGACACGGCCCAGACUCCUACGGGAGGCAGCAGUGGGGGAUAUUGCGCAAUGGGGGAAACCCUGACGCAGCAACGCCGCGUGAAGGAUGAAGGUCUUCGGAUUGUAAACUUCUUUUAUUAAGGACGAAGAAAGUGACGGUACUUAAUGAAUAAGCUCCGGCUAACUACGUG
rnacentral:rRNA from 1 species